CCUCAUGUAUGAGCCCAUUCGCACAGCAACAAAUUAAAUCGGUACGAAUAUGCCACACACGUGCACAGAUGCCCAGAAAUAACGAAGGAAGCGACGAGGUCAAGAGAGACCGAAACAACGAUCCUAGUUUUCUACCCAGAAGGACACAACAAGUUCCUCCAGCUUUUUAAGUUCGAACAACAGCCGACCGAACGUGUUGAUUGAAAUGACCUAAUACCAUUGAAACUGAAGUCUCCCAAAAACCCUAUCCUUGUUGAAAGUGUACAUCUUUUUUUACGCGACGUAUGGAGGCCCAUGUGCCCGCCUGCUGCGUUUCUGUCUGCGACAGAAAAAGCGUUGGUUAGUCAUGAUGUUGCUACUUGUAAGGCCGCUAUCACCAGUCAGAGAAACAGUUUCAAGGGUAAAAGGAAGAAAGACACUCGAUGGAUUCAGUGGCAGCAUAUUUGUUUGACAAACAUGGGAUACAAUUUGUCGUGCUGGAAGAGGUCAGCCGCCUGAUGCGAUGCUUAAAGGCCGUACUCGACGUGUACGUCACAACAUUUAGCGACAAGGUGCAGCUUUCAACCGGUAAUAUGCAGGGCAAAUACCACUAUUGACUUUGCCGCUGGUGAUCCUAGCCAUUCUUGAUCUUAAAGGCGAGACGUACCAUUUGCGGUAUAAGCAAAUGCAUAAAGGACUCGGAGGCUUGUCAGUGGCUAAAUCUAAGUUGAACAGUGUGCGUACAAAGGCUGAACGUCUAUUGUAAAAUAAUAUUUGUUAAAGGUCGGGUAAAAUGGGGCCCUGCAACAUGAACAGAGUACGGCUACUGGAAACUCGUUAAGCGUUUUUUUCUUUUCGUGAUUAUGGCUUAAAAAAAUAUGCUAAACGAGUAAAGAAAAUAAAGAAAGGUACUCUAAUGGUUUUUAGUUCGCGCGCCGUAGAGCUUUUCGGUUAACCCCGACUGUAGUAGGAAAUGGUUUGCUAGUCGAUGCCAUUAACAAACUGUUGAUCCAUCAAGGAAAUGUCUAUCUGGUUUUCCCUUGGGUAAUCGCUCAGACGGCGCACCGAUGCUGUUUCCCGAGAAAAUCUGGAAUAAUUCGAGCACCAGUUUCGAGAGCAGCUAACGCGUGGGUGCUGUAAUAAUGCUACUUCUACUAAUAGUGACAAGUAAGGUCACGAACUUCGGUAGUAGCCCUGUCACUGCCACGUCUAUCCUGUCGUCCGUUGCCGUACUUGUCAAUGACUGUUUAUGGCAAAGCCAGGCGUAGGACAUACACAGUUGCACGGAAGAGCGAGCAAAAUAUUGCACACUGUGACGUCUCAUCUAAAAGGAGCAUCACGCACAAUGGGACUGUCGAAUCGGGCAGUCAAGAGGCGGCAAGGAAAACCACUGCAUGUUAUAAGCUG